AUGAGAGAAAAAAAGAAGAUACUCGCAGGAUGAGAGUGAUGACGGAGUGCAAUUCAACGCUUGAACAUCCGAACAAAAAUCCUUCUAUAUGCAACCAAACAAUAAAUGUUGUAUUGGUUCCAUUUCUAUUUCAGGCUAAAUUGGUACUACUCAUGUUCAAUUUAAUUCUCCUAUGCUCAAUAUCUACAUCCAAAUAGCCUCCGUGCCCGCCUACAGACACCUCGAGGACCGCCCCCUCUCCCCCAGUCCCACUCCAACCGCACCACUGUGGGCGUCGCCCCCGAGCUCGGACCACGACCUUUCCACCCUCCGUGCCCGCUGUCGCUCCUCGUUGCCGGCCGCCAUCGAUCUUAGCGGCGGUGUCGACGCUUGCAUGGACGAUGCCCUCAAUGUGUUCGGUGAAAUGGGCACACGGUCGCAGUGGACGAUCGAUGGAUGGCUGUGGUUGUGAAGAUAGUCGAGCGCAUCGAAGAUGUCAGCAGCUAUGCCAAGUCUUUGCGAAAGGCUGAGGGUGUUUUCUGCAGUGGGGUUGCUCGACCGGGGAUGGAUCCAGUCGUCUAAGCUGCCAUUGGCCAUGAACUCAAAAACCAACGCCUUGAACUCUUCGCCUUGCGGACCAGCACUCGAGCAGCAGGUGACGAUCUUCAGGAGACAGCGAUGGCGUACCCUUCUCAGAGUCUCACACUCGGCCUCGAAACUCUUUGAGGAUCCUGAUUGCUGAAGGUUGAACACUUUUACGGCUACGGUUGCAGCUGCACCUGCACCUUCCUCUUCCUCUUCUAGAGUACAUCUGUAAACAGAACCGUAUCUUCCUCUGCCGAGCAAGUUAGCCUCUGAAAACCCGUCAGUUCCUCUUGACAAUGUGUGAUACGAAACUCUCUGAAACUGUUUGUCAUUAACUUCAGAUACGGCUUCUC